GAAAGAUCUCUGACUUGAUGAUCGAACUUCGAACUUUGAUAAAUACGAACAAUCUUCAAAUACUGCAACAAAGGCAACGAGAUGUGUGCUCGUCGUCCCUCCGAUGCUUAAGUCAGAUAGGGAAUUUAGUGUGUGAGGCUGUAAACUGGAGAUAAUGAAAAACGUACCUCAAGAAUGAACUCGGGUUAUGUAUUUAUAGGUGCGGAUGAUAGAGUCCUAGAAGAAGAUAAGGAGUUGAUGUUUUAUUCCAAGUAUUCAACCAUUGUUUGAGUUGGCUAGGGAAUCUAGUUAGGUAAGAAUUGCAAGUUGGGGAGAAUUUGUGUUCCCAUAGGUCGCCAAAAAGACAUGACACGACGACACAUAGACCCGACCUUAGAUUGGUGGUUUUGGUGGAGGACAAGUUCAGGGUAAGUGGUUGAGUUCGGGAUUGGGUGAUCACAGGCCCCCGUGGAUCAAGGUCGUAGAUUACGGUCCAAGUCAAAACUACGAGUGAAGAUGCAGAGGUAUAAAUGUCCAGGUGUCGCUCCAUGUGUCACGCGUCUGAUAGAAUGUCAAAACUCGACCUUGGAUGGGUGCCACGUGUCUUGGUCGAAGGGUAGGGAUUAAAAGACCGUUGGUAUUCUACAGUCUCCUAUAAAUACUCCAACUUUCACCAUUCAUUUUCACUUUCAAUUACUCUCAGUAAAAUCGAGCUCGAGUUCAAAGAUUGUGAGUUAGUGAGGGAUCGUCUGAAAAGGUAAGAGUUCGAGCCCUUAAGUUAUUUUUUGAAUUAGUAUAAUUUCGAGUAGCAGUAGUAGUGCAGGGUCGACUGAUAGCGAUAGUAGUCCCCAUCUAGGGUCUCGACCAAUAGUGACAAGCCUGUCGAUAUAGAUGUAUCCCUUAUUCCCCUGGCCAUCCCCAUCAGUUCUCACGUCGAUAGCAACGUCAGCUUGACAUAAUCUAAAGAACCGACCAAAUAUAAAGAGCAUGUUUAUCAUUAAGAUAGCCAGGGAGUUAGGUGUCAUGCCUGCAUGUGAUGUUAGGACCACGGGGCAUACUGAAUGGGAUUGGAUGCUCGGGAAGGGGAGAUGAUAUUUUUCAGGGACGUCCUUAAGGCUGGGCUUAGGUGGCCUCUUCAUCCAUUUUUAUUCCAUUUUCUAUCCUCUUACUACUUGUGCCCGGGCCAAUUAGCCCCGAAUGGUUGGAGACUGUUAGUGUACUUCUUCAUUUUAUAUAGAUGUCUCGAGGUCGAGCCUAGACUAGACCUUCUAAGAAUGGUUUUCGAUAUGAAAUUCUCUCCGGGGUACAACUGCUUCGUCUAUUUAUCAACGAAUGGGGGGUUUAGGACACCAGAGACCCCGAGCUCACUUUGGGGUUGGAAAGAGAGGUUCUUUUUGUGAAACCACAAAACCCUGACCACCCCUUUAACCCAAAGUGGGAGGUAAGGAUAGAUUUAACGAAGGGCAGGCAUACUUCGAGGUAUUAGAACGGGAUACGUUAAGGUUAGUUAACCACAAUCCUUUGGCAGAGAAGAUUGAUUACUUGCUCGAGGAUGACACCCACGACCUUGCCAAUGUGAAAGGCCUCGAGGGUAUGUCCUUUCAUCAUUUUUCUUCUCGUUAAUUAUCCUUGAGCUUAAGGUCGAGCUAAUGUCCUACGAUUUAUUUUUGCAGAUUUGGAGAUGUUUUUCAACCCAUCAAACCUUCUUGCGAAUAUUCAGCACAAAGCUAAGGGUCCAAAGCCUAAGGCCCCGACCCAUCGAAGGGGAAGAAGAGAGCAAGGGAGGUCACUGAGAGGGAGCCCCUGGUGGUUGUGACCCUGACCUUACAUAAAGGUCAGUUCUCGACGUCGAAGGCCCCGACCCCACCACCUCAACAAAGACCUAGGGCGCAAGAUCGAGCUCGGGGAUGUCAGGGCGUUCGAACUUCGACUUCUCUCCCCUCUCUGAUAGUGCCCUCAAGGAGUAUUCUGAGUGCUCCCUCGUGAAGGAUCUUGUUGAUCGAUUAAAAAAAGAGGUCAACAUUCACGAGGGGGUUAAGACAUUGGAGGUCCUAACCUUAAGGGUAAGACAUCAACCUCAAUUGUGUUUCCUUUAUUUGAGUCUUUUUUCAUCGGACUAACGUCAUGUUUAUUUAUGCAGACGUUGAGCGUAGCAAGAGGCCUUACCUUGAAUGGCCUCAAUAUUGUGAGCAAGCUGCAAGAUCUUGAGAAGGAGAAACAGCAAGCUGACAGUCGAGCUAAUGACCUUGAAAAAGCUCUUGAUGCAGCGAGGGCCGAACUCCAAAAGGCUCGAGAGGAGGUCGAGGUCCACAAGGGGGAGGCUCAGGAAGCAAAGCUCGAGCUUCUUGAGUCCAAGAAAGGUUUCAAAGAGGAAUUGGUGAGAGCACGUGAAUAAGCUCGAGCUCAAGCUGUUGAGGACUUCAAGAAAUUAGAAGAGUUCGGGACCCUCCUUGGUCAAUAUGGCUCAGGUUCCUAUCAUUAUGGCUUGCGGACUGCUCGAGCUCGAGCUCUCUACCUCGGAGGUUGAUGAUGAUGAUGACGAUGAUGAUGGUAUCACGAUGAUGUCAGGGUUGUUGACAUAGUUUAGAUUCCCCGACCCCAAAUUAGACAUUAUUGUAACUAUUUUUGCUCAUGUACAUUGUUCGAAC
rnacentral:lncRNA from 1 species